UACGUAGGGAGCAAGCGUUGUCCGGAAUCAUUGGGCGUAAAGCGCGCGUAGGCGGCCCCGUAAGUCCGCUGUGAAAGUCAAAGGCUCAACCUUUGAAAGCCGGUGGAUACUGUGGGGCUAGAGUACGGAAGAGGCGAGUGGAAUUCCUGGUGUAGCGGUGGAAUGCGCAGAUAUCAGGAGGAACACCAGUGGCGAAGGCGGCUCACUGGCCCGAUACUGACGCUGAGGCACGAAAGCGUGGGGAGCAAACAGG
rnacentral:rRNA from 1 species